rnacentral:lncRNA from 1 species
CCUCACCCUCCACAGCCUAAUAAGAAGUUCCAACUGCACCAAAUUGCUGUUUGUCAGGCUGAAAAGAGCACAGCCCCUUGCAUUGCUCUACAUCACAUGACACUUUGGUCUGAACAGAAUCGUUUCUUACAAAGAGAAGCAAGUGAGAGGAUGGAGAAGGUAGAGAAAUCAUCAUUUCAAUACUGCACUGUCUUGGGAACCAGAGUGAACGUCCCAAUCUUUCUGUGGAACGGUUUGCAGUGACAGUGGACCGUGGAGGACAUGGAAAACCUGCCAGUAAUGUUCCAUUAAGAUCCUGGGUGUUAAACUUUUAAUUCUGGAUUUCAGAAGAUCUUCAUACCACAUACCGCGUCACCGGAUAAUGAUACAUUUCACUCCUCCUUAUACAAAAUAUGUACUAUACUGGUACACAGUACAUUUUAGUGGGAGGCCUAAUUUUCCCAUGAAGACAUUUGCCACGUUUGAUUAGAAGGUUCUUGAAACGGAGAAGGGAAAUUAUAGUAAUAAGCAAAGUGUAUUAUGUUGUCAACCCAUUUGUGCUUUAAGGUAGGGUGAGGCAGUUAACGUAUAAUGCAAGUGUGCUGUGCAAAAAUUUUUGUUGUUUUGGAGGUAGAGAAUUCAUAGAAAUGAUUAUCUGUUGAUCUUUUUAAUGACUUUUCUCAAAUGUUAACCUCUCUAU